UUUUUUUCUUGAAAUUUUUUAUUUAUUAAUGGGGUAAUUUUGGAAUUUCACAUGCAUUUUAGGCCUUUGACUUUUUUGAAUGGUUUGCUAAUGGGAAAGUGGAUGAAGGAACUAAAUGGUUCACUAAAUCAAAUGUCAAGGACCAAUUUGUUCGAACUUUAAACAGGAGGGACCUACUAGUAAUUAUGACUUAACCUCUGGGGUCAUAUAGUAGUUCAAUAAUAUUCUGUAAGCAGAAAUCCUAAAAUUUGUUUAGUCAGUCCCUCUAAAAUAGUGGUAAAACAAGCAAAAAUAUCCAGUCUGCAAAGCAUGAAUCCAAAACUCCAGUCCAGUUGUCACUGUUAUUGAAAAAAGUAAAAUGAACUUCCAUUAACAUACCUUCG
rnacentral:misc_RNA from 1 species